rnacentral:lncRNA from 1 species
GUACAGCCAGACUGCAGAGUAUGGCAGUUUUCGACGAGAUCUCGGGUGUGCAAGACAAAAAUUCAGGUGUGCAAGUGUGCAAUCCUCAGUUAACGUAGUCAAGUGUGCACUUGUAAAUAGCUGCAUGUUCUAAUGAUAUUAAACAAUGAUUGUUUAUUUGUACAAAUAACUAAAAUUUCUGCCUCUCAGGAAAACAAAACGUGGUCCAAAUUCUGACGAACAAACAAGAAUAUAUAUUUCGAUCGGAGUUAAAAGUCAUUAUGAACAUGUACAAAAUAGCGUGUUUUUGACAUACUUUUUGUCCUGUAAAAGGAAAAUGUGCAUGUCCUUGUAAUUGAGUUGUAAAUGGAAAAGUGUUUCACUCGAAAAUGCCAUUUCCGACAAUGUAGGGACUCCAAAUUUCAAAAAUUUUUCGCUCGGCGCCAACCAUGGUGGCGCCUCGAGGAAAUCGGACCAAUUAUAAGUUCUCUUGUGCCCAAGCUUACAUGCUAUACGGUUUUGUUUAAUCAUAACAACCUGAUGAUCGCAAAACUCUGCUGUAGAUAGAAAUUCGAAACUUUAAUGGGCAUUUUUCAUUUGCGCUCAUGAAUCAGUGUUACCGAUAUUCAGGUGGUUGUUAUAUUACACUUGUCUUAGAAGUCCUUAUUUUAAUGCCUGACAAAACUGGAAAAUAUUUUAAAUAUGUUUAAGUGUGCAAUACCAUUGGCCAAAAAAAAACUCGGGUGUGCACUUGCCGUACUCUGCAGUCUGG